CGGGGCGGCGGGGAAGGGGCUCCGGGCCCGUCCGAGCCCCUGCCCCGCGCUCAGCGCUAGGCCCGGCUCGCAGCCCCGGCGCGGCGUGGCCGGGCCCGCCGGCGGCCUUACCGCCUCCACGGCGUGCUGCAGGAUGGAGGUGAACUUGGAGAACAUCCUGUCCCGCGACUGCAGCAGCCGCUGCCGGGAGGACCGCGAGAGCUCCUCGAUGCGCCGCCGCCGCCGCUCCAGGAGAGAAAGAGACAAAGAUGGGUUUAUUUCACCUCCAAACCAGAUACUUCAAAGAAAAAGAUCAUCCCUGCCAUUUUCCAGUGCCAUGCAAAAAGCAGAGAUACCGUUUUGGAGCCUGCAUCAUUUCAGAAGAAAAUAUGGAUAUAAGGAUAUAAGCACACGUACUUGAUUAGGGUGUCUAAGA